UAAACCAUAGAGAGGGAAAGUGUCAGCUUGGCACAACAGGUGUCCAUAAUUCUGCCUCCCUCCUCUCGAACUCUCAUCUCUUUCCUUCUUUGAUGCUCUCUAUGCCUCCCUUUCUCUCCCUCUUUCUCUUGGUUACGAAAGGAUUUCAGUUGGACUUAGUGGUGUUAGUGUUUCAGUUGGGCAGCUGGUUGGUAUUAUUGAUUGGGAUUUUCUAUCAACGAUGUGGGUGGGGUUUAUUGGUAGGUUUUCUCUUUGUUCUUUUUGUUUUCCUUGUUCCAAGAUCUGUUUUUUGGUUGUUUUAUUCUCUUUGGAAUGCAUACUCUCAUUCUCCUCUUUGUUCUUCUCAGAUUUGUUAGUUCUUCUCUGUUAUGGGUUUUUGUUUUUUGGUUGUUUUCUUUUGCUUUUGUUGGUUAAUGUGUUAGUUCUUCUCUGUUAUGGGUUCUUUUUUUUGGUUGUUUUCUUUUCCUUUUGCUGGUUGGUAAGUGUUGCAGUGGCUUCCUUCUCUGAUGGAGAUGGCUUUGUAUCUAGUGCAUGGUAAGGGUUUGCAGUUCGUCUGUUGGUUGUUCCCUUAUUGACACUGUGGUUACUGUGAUUCAUGGUGUCGAUGGUGACACACAGUGGUUACUGUGGCUCAUGGUGCCGAUGGUGACACACACACACGCAGAGAGAGAGAGAGAGAGAAAGUCUGCUCCUCUUCGUUCCUCUCUGAAUUGGCGUUGGCAUGACAACACCAAUGAGAGAUUCUUUAAGCUUCUUUGAGAGUUGAGCUAGCAGUGAAGCUACUACUAUAAUGGAUUCUUGUUGUACAACCUUGAAUCCCAAUGCCCAUCCUGUAGAAGUUAGGAAAGGGCUUAUUAAUGCAUACCAAGUUGGCGAAGAGUUUGAGAGCUGAUAAUGGAGAUAGAAAAAUCAAAAAUGGCAUUGCGGACUUCUCUAUUCUUUGGGAUGUCAAUAACGACAUUGUGUGAGACCACCCAAGCACCACUAUUUGGGAGGCAGAAGGCAGACCCAAAGAAAGAUGUUUAUAAGCUGACCAUGUGAGACGCACCUCGGAAAGAUAGAAGCAGCUGCACUUUAACCCUCCUAAAUCAGCACAUAGGUACAAUCCUGGGUCAAGACCAGUCUAGAUACAAAAUGUAAGGCCAGGCCUAACAACUUGCCAGGCCAGAUGGGAUGAGCUUCUCCACCAAGUUUGGGAUAACAUCUAUUAGUUUUAAAAUUUUUUUGUCAUUUUAAAUACAAUAGAUGGAUGCUAAUUAAAUUUAAAUUCAUGAUAUCAGAUUUCAUAACAGAUUUGGAUCUAAAGGUUUGGUAAUUGGAUCUUAGAUGGGGAUGUAGCUGGAUCGAAUCUGUUUACAUCCUUCCAUCGGAGCACUUUCUUCCUGCUGCUUCUUUUCUUCUUGCUUUCAAGGACCCAAUAACGUGAUAGAAACGAAGUUCUAUCCAACAUGCCGCAUUAGCUGGAUGACCUCUGUGAGCAGUUUAAUGGCAUGAAAGAGAGGACACGCUGAAAUUGGGUUUGACAUGUUAUUCACAAAUAGCAAGGAUUUCCUAUUUAGUGAAGAUAUCAACUUGGUCAGACUGGGUGUUCUGCUUGUAGUUGUCUGGUUUGCAAUCAACAUUGUAUUUCAGAAAAUGGUUCAAUGGUAAUCAUCUAACUAACUGAGUGAAAUUUAUCCAAUUAAUAAGUUAGGUUAUUUAUUUCACACUCUCUCUUUCUCUCUCUCUCUCUCUCUCUCUAUAUAUAUAUAUAUGAAUCAAUGAAACUCUAUCGAGAAUGCAUGUAGUGGAGUGGAGAUGAAAAAUUCAAAUUGCUUUCUCCUAACCCCUGUUCUAAAUUGUUUUUGUUUCGUAGUUUCGUCUGGGUUCUUCUUCAAAAGUCUUGCUGUAUCAGUGAAUACAAAGUCUUGAUUCUACCUUGAGGUUUUGGAUUUUCAAUUCUAAGUGAGGAUUACAAUUUAGGCAUGUCAAAGUCUUGAUUCGUCUGGGUUAUUCUUCAAAAGUCGUGCUGUAUCAGUGAAUACAAAGUCUUGAUUCUACCUUGAGGUUUUGGAUUUUCAAUUCUAUGUGAGGAUUACAAUUUAGGCCCGUCAAAGUUUUAUUGUUGCUUUUUUGUUAUUUUUCUACUACAGAGGCAUGUUUUUAUUUUUAUUUUUUUUCUUUAUUUCCUUCUCUUUUGCUUCUUGCUUGAGGCCUAAACAGGGGCUCUGCCUUUAUCUUCUUAUUCUUUGUGAUGACAGCUAGCUUUUCCACCAUUUAGAGAAACAUGGAAGGUUCUCUGAGUCGAAAACCCUAGUGCUUUUCAGUCAUCUAAUGCAAGUUGUGAUACUGUGAUGUAUUGUCAUGACAAAGGCAUUUGUAUGUCAACAAUUUCUUAUUGGACUAGCAAGUUUAGGCAUUUGUAUUAUGGAUUUGUCAUUUUGGUAUGUUGGGUUUUAGAUUCAUAGGAUGGAUGAAGGAGACAAAUGCAAGUUAUAUAAGGAUGAUGUUUUAACUGUAGAUUAAUUGAGUCGCAAGUGGAAUGUUUUGGUCUUUUAGUACUAGAUUUUUAUAUGUUUCCUCUUCAUUCAUAAUCACAUCAUGUUUUUAAAUUUUUCAUUUUGUUAUUUUUUGUUUUGGAUAAUCUAUUCUUAAAGUAAGAUCUAUCCUUUUCUUUGUAGGUUUUGUUUAUAUCUAUAGAGCAUAUAGAUAUUUUGUUUACAUUAUAUUUAAGAAUUUUGUUUCAUAUUUGCGGCAUUGACAAUAUCCAAUUGUUACUUCAUGAAGAGUUCUAAUUCAAAUGAUGGGACUUCACAUUGAACCAAGGCACCACCUAAUCAACUGAGAAGGCUUCUUUCUCCUUUCCGUCUCUGUGCUUUUUUUUUUUUUUUAAUUUAUUUUAUUUGUUACUCCCUAUAAUUUGUAUAAAUUUGAACACCUCUCUUUAGUUUACAAGAAUGAUGAUGAACCUGUCUUUUGAACUUU